AAAAACAAAAUAGGAAUUAAAAAAGAUUACAAUGGAAUUUAAAAUAAAGUUGUUAAAAUUUGCCUCGGCAUUGUCGUAGAAAAUCGGAUCAAAUACAACGCAUUACAGAACUUGUGAAGUCAAUUCGGCUUUUUAAUACAAGAGUAGCAAGCCGGGAUGGUCCGCGGAACACACUCCACUUUCCAGAGCCCCGGCUCCAGUAUUUAUCCACAUAUUGCAUAUGAGCCCAUCCCAAAUGCAAAUAAAGUUACAUUCCAAUCCGUGCAUCCCGCUUGUUCAGCUCAAUAACGCCCAUACCUGCUUUCCGUCAGAUUAUAAUGAUAAGACCCUUGCUUUGUUCCUGCAUUUAGCUAAAAGCAUUCUUUUGUUUGUGUAUUAUCUAAGAUCAGCAGACUAUGUGUCUCCUCAGUAUCUAGCGUGUCCACCUAUACUAAAAAUACUAUACAUUCCUCUAUUUUACAACCCUAUGUUUUGGCUCAGCACUUAGCUAAAAGCAUUCUUUUGUUUGUGUAUUAUCUAAGAUCAGCAUACUAUGUGUCUCCUCAGUUUCUAGCGUCUCUACGUCCUAAAAAUAUGCGAACUAUGUCUAUUGGUCAUCAGUUAGUCAUUUGACUGACCCCCUCCUUUGUAUAUCCCUCUGGCCUUGGUAUGUCCAGCUAUUCUGUCACCUAUGUGUCCUUCUCUUCAUGUAGUCUGGUUUUAAUGGUCAGCUAUUCUGUACAUCUUAUGCAUUUGUCUAUGUGUUAUAUUUGCUCCCACAGCAUCAGAGGCCCAUGUUGUCCAAAGGUGGGGAGGUGAUAACUAAUGUUUGGAAACUGUUGUCUGCCUCUGAGUAACUUGCCUGUCCAACCCAAAUCUAAGAGACUGUGUGUAGUUUGAAUCAGAGCUCUCUGUUGUCUUUGGUACACACUUGUAGGGUGGUGUGGGAGGAACCCUGUGACAUCAGAAACAAAUGUACCCUAGCUAUUGCAUAAUCCCCCCAUCAGUUUGUUCAUUACAGAUAGGCUUUUAAUGAAGCUUUUCUAGUCUAUUUAAUGAAAAAAGCAUCUAAUUAACGUGCACAGAUGCAGAAGAGUAGGGAGGUAAGGCAAUAAAUAGGCCAUAGAGGCGAAAUAAUUACAAUUUAGCGUUAACACAGGAGUGAUAGAUGUGCAGAUGAUGAUGUGCAAGUGGAGAUACUGGGGUGCCAAAGAGCAGAGGGAUAAGUAACAAUAUGGGGAUGAGGUAGUGGGGUGUGCUGUUUACAGAUUGGCUGUGUACGUUCAGGCACAGUGAUUGGUAAAGGAAGUGUUGGCUUUGGGGAUGACCAGUGAAAUAUACCUGCUGGAGCGCUUGCUACCGGUGGGUGUUGCAUACACACCCACACACAGGUCCAGAGGAAGAGAGACAGAGAGAGCCUGAGAUUUCAUUAAAGGGCUUCCAAAUCCACAGCUCGUAACUUGAUGCAACCAGAGGGCAGAGGAAGAGAGACAGAAGACCAGAGGAAGAGCUGUCAUUAGUUGAAGUGAUAGCAACUCCGACUGGGAGCCCCCGGUGCCAAGCUGCCCGCUCUACCCCUGCCCCCAGUGGUGUUCAUAUGCCACAGUUCAUUACUGCAGGCAUGACUGUGCCUCAGGGCCAAAAGGGCACAGUAUGGAGGCGUCGUUGUGUUCUGUGUCGCAUGAAAUGCACCACUUGUUCAGUUUGCCUCUGCUUUACAUCAGAAAGAGACUUGGCACAGGCAGCAAAAUAUUGUGACGAGGACUUCCAAAGGGUGUACUGUUUUUAAAAAAAUAUUUAUUUUCUAAUAUUUAAAUUUUUUUGUGUGUGUGUGUUAGAAUUGCUUUUUGAUAUGUUGUAUAUAGUUAUUUGCACAUCUGCAUAUAGUUAUAGGUCCUUUCACCAAUUCGGCCACUUGGGUACAUUUGGGCACCUUGUGUGGGACACCUGCGUGACUUCAUGCUAAAUGUCAUGUAGCUCAUUCAUUCCUGAAGUUAUCAGUCUGAAACUUUCCACACCUACAGUUGCCCUGUUGUGUUAUCCAUCAAAAUUAUCUCCAGCAUCCUAUCUGAAUGUGUGGCUAUUCUAGUAAAUGUGAAGAUGAUACUACAACAAUAAAAAACAGAAAAUGUA